UACAUGGGGUGCAAACGUUGCUCGGAAUUAUUGGGCGUAAAGCGCACGUAGGCGGUUCGUUAAGUCGGAUGUGAAAGCCCUCGGCUCAACUGAGGAAGCGCACCCGAAACUGGCGAGCUUGAGUACGAAAGAGGAUCGCGGAAUUCCCGGUGUAGAGGUGAAAUUCGUAGAUAUCAGGAGGAACACCGAUGGCGAAGGCAGGUCUCUGGGCCACUACUGACGCUGAGAAGCGAAAGCAU
rnacentral:rRNA from 1 species